rnacentral:rRNA from 2 species
GGUUGCGGACAGUGUCUGGUGGGUAGUUUGACUGGGGCGGUCUCCUCCUAAAGAGUAACGGAGGAGCACGAAGGUUGGCUAAUCCUGGUCGGACAUCAGGAGGUUAGUGCAAUGGCAUAAGCCAGCUUGACUGCGAGCGUGACGGCGCGAGCAGGUGCGAAAGCAGGUCAUAGUGAUCCGGUGGUUCUGAAUGGAAGGGCCAUCGCUCAACGGAUAAAAGGUACUCCGGGGAUAACAGGCUGAUACCGCCCAAGAGUUCAUAUCGACGGCGGUGUUUGGCACCUCGAUGUCGGCUCAUCACAUCCUGGGGCUGAAGUAGGUCCCAAGGGUAUGGCUGUUCGCCAUUUAAAGUGGUACGCGAGCUGGGUUUAGAACGUCGUGAGACAGUUCGGUCCCUAUCUGCCGUGGGCGCUGGAGAACUGAGGGGGGCUGCUCCUAGUACGAGAGGACCGGAGUGGACGCAUCACUGGUGUUCGGGUUGUCAUGCCAAUGGCACUGCCCGGUAGCUAAAUGCGGAAGAGAUAAGUGCUGAAAGCAUCUAAGCACGAAACUUGCCCCGAGAUGAGUUCUCCCUGAGACUUAGAGUCUCCUGAAGGAACGUUGAAGACGACGACGUUGAUAGGCCGGGUGUGUAAGCGCAGCGAUGCGUUGAGCUAACCGGUACUAAUGAACCGUGAGGCUUAACCUUACAACGCCGAAG